UCACAUCUGUUUCUGAAACCAGACUUUGUUAAUUAACAGUUUUAAAAUAUUAAUUAGUUUUGACAUCUUGUAAAUUUUAGGUCAAAAAUACAGUCCAGAACUUCCUCAAAGUGCUAACCUUAAGUAACAUAACAGUGUUUGCCUGUUUGCUUGCCUGGUAAAUUUUGCUUUUUAUACUGACAGACAUUACUAAUGUUUAAGUUGAUUUAUCAACAGUAUUUUUAAAAACUCAAAUUUGUCUUGUGAAAAAUGAGAUGAUUAGAGGAACAGAAAGAAAGCAACAGGUAAAGAAUUCUUCAAUUUACAUAAAUUACAAAUGAUUUGGUGCUAAAUUUAUGCACUAUGACAUUUGGCUUUUAUGCAAUCAUUUUUUUUUCUUUAAAGAUGUUAACACUACCUGAUAUUAAUCAUAAUGUUCCAUUAUGUUGAUUGCUUGUAAUAGGAAGAAAAGGGGUGUCUUCCUGUGCAACUGACACAGCUAGGCUUUGACGGCAGGCCUCCACAAGUACUAUGGACUACAAAUUUUGGAAAAUGUGAUAAAAACAAGGUGGAAGAUUCUUCCAAGGAACCAGUGCGAAGGAAUAAAAAAAUACGUUGUUGGCCUCAUUAUCAAGACGUCAUCUGACCCAACUUGUGUAGAGAAAGAAAAGGUGUAUAUCGGAAAAUUAAAUAUGAUCCUUGUUCAGAUACUGAAACAAGAAUGGCCCAAACAUUGGCCAACUUUUAUCAGUGAUAUUGUUGGAGCAAGUAGGACCAGCGAAAGUCUCUGUCAAAAUAAUAUGGUGAUUCUUAAACUCUUGAGUGAAGAAGUAUUUGAUUUCUCUAGUGGACAGAUAACCCAAGUCAAAUCUAAGCAUUUAAAAG
rnacentral:lncRNA from 1 species